rnacentral:rRNA from 1 species
GACGAACGCUGGCGGCGUGCUUAACACAUGCAAGUCGAACGGUGAAGCGCCUUUCUUUUUGGUGGGUGUGGACGGGCGGCGAACGGGUGAGUAACACGUGAGUAACCUGCGCCCUUCUACUGGAUAACCGCAUGACAGUGUGGCUAAUACGGGAUAUUCUGGGUCUGUCGCAUGAUGGGUCUGGGAAAGAUAUUGUUUCGGUAGGUGAUGGGCUCGCGGCUUAUCAGGUUGGUGGUGGGGUGACGGCCUACCAAGGCUGUGAGGAGUAGCUGGGCAGGGAGGGUGAGCGGUCACAGAGGUAAGACGAGACGGAGAAUACUACGAGAGGAGGCAGCAGGGGAUAAUAGUGCACAAGGGGCGCAAGGCUGAAGCAGCGACGCGGCGUGAGAGAAGGAGUCCGGCGUGUUGUGAACUUCUUGUUCGAGGGAAGCAGAGUUGCUUCGUUUGUGGGUGUGUUGACGUUAGCUGGAGAAGAAGCGCCGGCUAACUACGUG